UACGUAGGUGACCAGCGUUGUCCGGAUUUACUGGGCGUAAAGAGCGCGCAGGCGGUCGUUCAAGUCGAGUGUGAAAGCCCCCGGCUCAACUGGGGAGGGUCACUCGAUACUGAUCGACUUGAAGGCAGGAGAGGGAAGCGGAAUUCCCGGUGUAGUGGUGAAAUGCGUAGAUAUCGGGAGGAACACCAGUGGCGAAGGCGGCUUCCUGGCCUGUUCUUGACGCUGAGGCGCGAAAGCUAGGGGGAGCAAAACGGG
rnacentral:rRNA from 1 species